AACUAUAUGGUAUUAUAUAUAGCUUUUUCUGCACAAUGUGAAAAUAUGAAUUGCCGCAGUACUUUGACUGUGCUAAGGUAGCAUAAUCAUUUGGCUUAUAAUUGAAGUCUAGUAUGAAUGAAAUCAUGGGGGUCUACUGUUUCAAAGACGCAUUUUGAAUUUUUCUGGUUGGUGAAAAUGCCAAUAAAUACUUAAUAGACGAGAAGACCCUUGAAAUUUUUAAUAAAUCUUUUUUUGGAUAUGUUUUAGUUGGGGCGACAAAGUAGCAAAAAACCUACUUGAACUAAAUAAGCAUUAAAUAGGAUGGACAAAUAAAUUACUCUAGGGAUAACAGCAUAAUAUUAUAAAGUUUGUGACCUCGAUGUUGGACUAGGAUAAUAUAGCUUAGAAGGCUCCUAUUAUUGCUCUGUUCG
rnacentral:rRNA from 1 species